AGAAUUAUAGACAAACUUUAACAAAAGCUGCCUGAGAGUUUACAGGUUUUUAUGUUAGAUUUCUUCAGUAAUUUAAUGAGAGUUAUCAGCAAAAAUCAAGUGUUCAUUUGAUGAACUUGAUUUCCUAAAACAUCCAGAAUUGAAGCUCAUAUCUUUGGCAGCUGUAAAGUUUCUGCUCCUUCAAAGUUCACAACACAAUGAAUGAAUUCCUAAAACACUCUCAAUGCUGGAGAGCGUUUGUGAUGCUGAAGCAGUGAUCAGUUUUUCUGUUUCUUCUCUGGAGAUGCACAAUGAGGGACGUCUGCAGAGACUGAGAAAGAGUCUCACCACAUCCUGACAUGAGGAAAAAGACUUUAUUGAAGACUACAAUGAGAAAAACUAUCAGACAGCAGACGGCUGCAUUCAAGAAGACCAUCAAACAUCCACAUCAGCUGAUGGAGGUCCAAGAGUCUCACCAAACAAACAACCUACAGAGUGAAGACCUCCAAUCUGAUUGGACGGCCUCCUAUUCAGCCACAUGUGUGAACAAAUGCCUCUAAGCUGAUUUGUUUUCUAAAAUAAAUCUAGUUUGAGUCCUAAUCUAUGCCUGUGUGUUUGCUUCUUUAUGCUGCUGUUAACAGUUUAGGCUGUUAGAUUGUUCCAGAUAAGACAAGUACAAGAUUCUUCAGAGCCGUUCUACCACGAGCCUGACAGGAAGAACUCCAACAGCUACUGAAUGUUCCUGUGGUCCCCUCAAGGCUACAGGAGGAGCCCUACGAGGACGAGCCGGUCCACCUGAUGGAGGCCAGUCGCUGCGGUUCAAAGGCAACACCGACUACGUGGACUUCUACUGGACCACACGGAGGCCUUCAAACCGGACCAACAAGUUCAGCGACUCCCCGACUCGUGGGUCUGAGGACGCUGCCGAGCCUCGGUCCAGCCGGCCUCCUGUCUGUGGGUGUUUGAGUGCUGAGAGGUUUGUGGAUGCAUGUGAACGUGUCUGUGUUGAAACAGCAGCUUUGGACUCACUAACGCUGGGAAAAACCAAGAGCUCCUUUAUUUGUGACUUCCACUAAAAAACUGAUGAAAAUAAGUUUGCCAGGGUUCUGAC
ensembl:lncRNA